AAAGGAGGCGUGUCCUUACACAAAAGGGGUGUGGCCUCUCAUCAUACAACCUCUGCAGACUAGACAAGCUUCACUGCUACUAAACGAGUGUUUGGAUGAUUCCUCACAUUAUGUGUGCUGUUGAGGAAAGUCUUCUACUUCAGUUCAGCAGCAGAUGAUGUUUGUCUUUCAGUCAGAAUCUCAUCAGUGUCUCUCUCGAGGAAGAUUCACAGUUCUCCAGAACUUCAUCAUUAUCUUCAGUCAUUCUGCAAGCUUCAGUGCAUCUCUGACGUCAGCAGCGACUCAAAGUGCCUUUGCAACGGGUUUAUCACAAAGGUCAAGCUGUGAAGAUGUGAUAUCACAGCAUCAGAUCAGAAACAAGCCGCAAAAAUCCCAAACGCAUGAAUCCGUGGUGGAUCAGGAACAGCCCGCGGUGGAGAGCCUCUCGAUGUGAUGAACCUCUGCUGCUCUUAUAUCAAACACACACACACACACCGUCCAGACGUUCAUCUGGAUUACACCAUCAGAUUACACAAAUUAAAUACUUGUUAUUAGAUAUUACAUUUCAUAACGCUCAUUAUCAGAUUACAGUUACUUUUUAUGGAUUACAUGAUUACAUAUUAGUCACACAAUGUUAGUAAACCAUCAGGGAUCACAAAUGAUAUCGAGCCUCUGUUAUAAUGCAGAAAUCACUUCUUCAACUCAGCUUUUUGACAUUUUUAAAUCAAGAUACAUUUACUAAAGAUAUCAGGCCUUGUCUUCUGAAAAAUGUUUUAAAGUUAAACAAGUGAAUGUUUAAAACAAGAACAAACAUCUGCUAAUGCGCUCACAGAAAUAGUCUUGUUUUCCCAUUACAUUAAAUGAACAGGUUUUGCUUCAAGUAAAUAAAUCUUGAUUUCAGGAUGUUAUAAAACACGUUUAACAGUGUGGGUGUGCGUAU